AAAUACAACUUUCGUACCUAAAAUACCUAAUGUUAGUCUAAUGUUCGAAGUAGAAUUGUUGCUUGUUGAAUUCAUAGCCAUUCGUUUAAUGACAAUUUUAUUGCGCGAAAAAUGAUUAAUGGCACGUUAUUUGCUCGCUGAGGGAAAUACUCGGUGAUAGGUUAAUGGACGUAAAAAAUGAACAGGCUGGCGUAAAGCGGCAGAGAGAUACGAGCCUCGACGAUGAUAGAUAUGGUUUAACCAGUCGUAAUUGUUUUGCGUUCGUUCUUAAUUGGGGCUACUUGUUCGUUACGUUUCUUCCGAAUGGGUAAGAAGCUAUGAAGUUUUAAUAAAUGCCUUGAUCGAGCUGUUAACAUGUUCUGUGGGGAAACAGGUAAAAAAAAAAAAAAUCUCAAUUCGUUAGUCAGUUUGUAUCGUCAUUAAUAACAAACACAAAAAACAAAGAAUAAUAGAAUCACAACUUGAAUUCACAAAUCGAUCGUAAAAUGAAGGUUAUUUUUUAUCUCUCUCUCUCUUGAUUCGUUGUUUCCUUUCAACGACGCAUUGCAGCUUUAUUAUUGAUUCAAACGAACAAGACGAUUCGAGACCAUUGGAUAGCCAGGCUUUCCACGUCCUGUGUUCAAACCUUCCGAGUGAUUUCUAGGUCAGAUAACAAUUAGAAAUAACUCGAUUGAAUUGGUAUACCGAUCAGUGAGACGGUAAAGGUGGUCGGCUCGCUUUCGAAAGUGAUGACCCCAGGGAGCGGUAAAGAUGCGUGCAGGUAGGGGGAUAGACGUUCCUGGAUCGCUAAUGAGCUUCUGGAAUAUUAUCGAUGCUCACGGUAAUGCUUAUAACUGCUUUUCAACUGAGAUUGUAAAUUUUCCGUUGUUCACUGAUUUCUGAGGGAAAGAUGCACGCCGAUUAUGCAUUGGUGGAAUAUAAUAGUGUUUUAAAGAUACCCUGUUGCUUCUAUCUGAACGAGGAAUUACCAGUAGAUUUGCCAGAACGAAGCGAAGACGGACAUAUAUAUAUAUAUAUACUCAGAAAUGCAAAGAUAUUCAAAUAAUUGCCUCUUACGAAAUAGAAAUGAAUAUCGUAUAAUUCUUGGAAGGAAAAUAAACUGUAUAAUAGGUGAUCAAAGCGCAGGCAUCAGAUUUGUACAUAAGUAUUCGAUCUUGCGUAAUAAAAAAAAAAAAACAUUGAACUGUGAUCCCUUGACGAACUCGAAAAAAUUACAUGGCGAAAACUAUUGCAACGUCGGAAGUGGCAAUGCUCGGGAAGCGUACGGUUCUCAAAGGGUUAAUUGGGCAUAGUAAUUCUUCAGGUGACCAAGCUCCAUGGGAGUGGAACGGAGAAAACCCAGUUUUAUGCUUCGCAUUAAGUGAUAAGUUAUCGUAACAUUUUUAUGCAAUGAGGAGGAGGGAAUAUCACUGUCGCGAAAACGGAGUAAAUAUUAUGUAAUAUUGGAUGAGUGACAACAGCUUAAUUGUUACUACACAUGUAUCAAAUAUAAUUAUAUUUUAAAGUUCCAUUAUCUUGUCAUCAACUAAUUAACUUCUACAUUGAUGUUGAAAUAAUCGAGUAAUUCCUUUUACAAUCCUGUAAAAAAUUGAUUUUUUUCAAUUAAUUUUGGUACAAAUAUCUUCUCUAUGAUGAUAUAUAUAUAUUAAAAUUUGGAAUUCACAAACAGAUUUUAAAUACUUAUAUUACAAUUAACAUUUCUUAC
rnacentral:lncRNA from 1 species